rnacentral:rRNA from 1 species
GAACGCUAGCUAUAGGCUUAACACAUGCAAGUCGAGGGGCAGCAUGGUCUUAGCUUGCUAAGGCCGAUGGCGACCGGCGCACGGGUGAGUAACGCGUAUCCAACCUGCCUUACACUCUUGGACAGCCUUCUGAAAGGGAGAUUAAUACAAGAUGUUAUCAUGAGUAAGCAUUUUCGCAUGAUUAAAGGUUUACCGGUGUAAGAUGGGGAUGCGUUCCAUUAGAUAGUAGGCGGGGUAACGGCCCACCUAGUCUUCGAUGGAUAGGGGUUCUGAGAGGAAGGUCCCCCACAUUGGAACUGAGACACGGUCCAAACUCCUACGGGAGGCAGCAGUGAGGAAUAUUGGUCAAUGGACGAGAGUCUGAACCAGCCAAGUAGCGUGAAGGAUGAAGGUUCUAUGGAUUGUAAACUUCUUUUAUACGGGAAUAAACGAAUCCACGUGUGGAUUUUUGCAUGUACCGUAUGAAUAAGGAUCGGCUAACUCCGUG